GAUGGACGGUCCAGGUUGCACCCUAAACUCCCCGUCCCAAUACCACGGCAAUGUAAUCUUCUCCAGCACUGCAACAGUGAUUACUCUACUCGGUGGUCUUCUAUCGGAACCUGUUAUGGAUAGGGUAAUGAAUAUGUAGCGUUUAAUGUCCAAAUCUCAUCAUUGUCAGUUGAAGCUGGACCGUGGCUGCCUCUUUAUGAAGCAGAACGGUGUGGUCCUGUGUAAAUGGUGCAGACCGCAAACCUCUCGCACCAAACUCUUUGAACAACUUCAUUGCCAAAUUUAAUAGUUGAUGCACCAAUAAGAAAGUGGAGAGACAGAGAGUAUAAUACAACGUAAAUCUCAUGGUUUUGAACACAAUUUAAAGAAAACAUGAGAUUAGAUAAUUUUGAGUUUAAUCUUAACGUGUUUCGUAUUUAAUCAUUUUUAACAUGUUUAAGACACGAACAUGUUAAACAUGAAUAAUACGUUUAAAAUACGUUUAGUUAAUUGUAUUAUCGUGUUUAAACAUGUAUACGUGAUACGUUUAUCAACUUGUUAAAAAUUAAUAAUCAAAAAUUAUUUUAAUCUUACUUAAAUAAUUUUAGUUUGGAUGUUUCGAAUUGUUUAUGGUUGAUGAUAUAAUUAAUGAUAUGUACGUAUUUAAUCAUGAAUGAAAAUUAUAGAUGAUUUUAGGUAUUAUUAAUAUUUUCAGAUUAGAUGUUAAUGAUAGAUUUUAUCAUAUUAUAUGAUAAUGAAUUUUAUGUAUGUUAUUUAUGUUAAAUUUUAUUAUAUUUGAUAUUAAGAUUAGUUUGUUUUGAUAUAACCUGUUACGGAUAGUGUAAUGAAUAUGUAGCGUUUAAUGUCCAAAUCUCAUCAUUGUCAGUUGAAGCUGGACCGUGGCUGCCUCUUUAUGAAGCAGAACGGUGUGGUCCUGUGUAAAUGGUGCAGACCGCAAACCUCUCACACCAAACUCUUUGAACAACUUCAUUGCCAAAUUUAAUAGUUGAUGCACCAAUAAGAAAGUGGAGAGGCAGAGAGUAUAAUACAAGGUAAAUCUCGUAGUUUUGAACACGAUUUAAAGAUGACAUGAGAUUAGAUAAUUUUGAGUUUAAUCUUAACGUGUUUCAUAUUUAAUUAUUUUUAAUAUGUUUAAGACACGAACGUGUUAAACAUGAAUAAUACGUUUAAAAUACGUUUAGUUAAUUGUAUUAUCGUGUUUAAACAUGUAUACGUGAUACGUUUAUCAACUUGUUAAAAAUUAAUAAUCAAAAACUAUUUUAACCUUACUUAAAUAAUUUUAGUUUGGAUGUUUCGAAUUGUUCAUAGUUGAUGAUAUAAUUAAUGAUAUGUACAUAUUUAAUCAUGAAUGAAAAUUAUAGAAGAUUUUAGAUAUUAUUAGUAUUUUCAGAUUAGAUGUUAAUGAUAGAUUUUAUCAUAUUAUAUGAUAAUGAAUUUUAUGUAUGUUAUUUAUGUUAAAUUUUAUUAUAUUUGAUGUUAAGAUUAGUUUGUUUUGAUAUAACCUGUUACGGAUAGGGUAAUGAAUAUGUAGCGUUUAAUGUCCAAAUCUCAUCAUUGUCAGUUGAAGCUGGACCGUGGCUGCCUCUUUAUGAAGCAGAACGGUGUGGUCCUG
rnacentral:lncRNA from 1 species